rfam:Trichobilharzia regenti genome assembly, scaffold: TRE_scaffold0008956
AUGCAGAAGACGAGUCCCAAAUAGGACGAAAUGAACAUCCUGGAU